UACCAGCACCCCGAGUGGUCGGGACGAUUAUUGGGCCUAAAGCAUCCGUAGCCGGUUAUGCAAGUCCUCCGUUAAAUCCACCUGCUUAACAGAUGGGCUGCGGAGGAUACUACAAGGCUAGGAGGCGGAGGAGGCAAGCGGUACUCAGUGGGUAGGGGUAAAAUCCUCUGAUCCAUUGAAGACCACCAGUGGCGAAGGCGGCUCACUGGACCGGUUCUGACGCUGAUGCGCGAAAGCGUGGGGAGCAAACGGG
rnacentral:rRNA from 1 species